GCAGGCGGUGGGGUUGCCACUGCGACAGAGGGUGUUUAGCACCCGAGACCAUAUGGCUCUGUUGUGUAGAAUUUGUAAGGGUAGUCUUUUUUGUAGAAGCAGUAGUUUAGCCAUAUGUGUCCUGUCAAGGACGAUUUUCGGGUUGGGUGUUUCGAUAUAAAUGAGGCCGCUUUUAAAGUUCUCUGACGAAAUGAUUUUGGAUUGGAAGUUAUCGGAUGGGGGAGUAAGGUGGAGAGUGAUUUGGAGUGCCCGGGAAGAGGUGUUUGAAGGGAUUUUGGCAGAUUUGUGACAAUUUCAGACUGUCAAAAAAAGUUGGAAAUGAGUGAUUUGGAUAGGCAGAAGUUAAAAUGAA